UCCAGCCAGUUCAAGUCCGUUUUCCACACUGUGUACACUGUACAUAUAAAGCUACGAAAGGAGACAAAUUAUUUAAAAUCGGUUUCACAAUGUGCCAGUCCUGCGAAAACUAUUCACCAGAGUGCUGCGCCAAAUUCUAUCCUAUAUGGUGCAUCGUACUUGGGUCUUUAAGCAUUGUGGUGGGAAUUAUAAUGCUGCUAGGGAACCCUGGCGGAUAUUUUCUAUUUGCUGUUUGGCAACUUCUUAUAGGCUUAAGUUAUAUAGCCGCGGGGCUUUUAAUGUUGAUUGGGGAAAAAAAGAACAUAAGAACGUUGUUCAAGUGUGGAAAAAUUCUCAGCUAUGUUUAUGCUAUUUGUACUUUCAGCACCAUUUUCACAAUAGUUGUCCACAUCUGCGCCGUAAUGAAACUGUGCAAGUAUAUAGAGCAACGCUGGGGAUAGCUAACAAUUAGCCGUUUCUGCUGGUUGAGGACAUUUGAAACGCUCUUAUAUAUAGUGCCUUUGGAAAGCAGCUAAUUUAAAUUAUAAUGUGUUCAAUUUCCGACUUUAAAAACAUAUACGCCGGCGGAAUCCGAAAUUAGUAAAAUUAAAUGGAAACGUGAA